rnacentral:rRNA from 1 species
AACGAACGCUGGCGGCAUGCCUAACACAUGCAAGUCGAACGAGAUCUUCGGGUCUAGUGGCGCACGGGUGCGUAACGCGUGGGAAUCUGCCCUUUGGUUCGGAAUAACAGUUGGAAACGACUGCUAAUACCGGAUGAUGACGGAAGUCCAAAGAUUUAUCGCCAGAGGAUGAGCCCGCGUAGGAUUAGCUAGUUGGUGUGGUAAAGGCGCACCAAGGCGACGAUCCUUAGCCGGUCUGAGAGGAUGAUCAGCCACACUGGGACUGAGACACGGCCCAGACUCCUACGGGAGGCAGCAGUGGGGAAUAUUGGACAAUGGGCGAAAGCCUGAUCCAGCAAUGCCGCGUGAGUGAUGAAGGCCUUAGGGUUGUAAAGCUCUUUUACCCGGGAUGAUAAUGACAGUACCGGGAGAAUAAGCUCCGGCUAACUCCGUGCCAGCCGCCGCAGUAA